UACGUAGGGUGCAAGCGUUAAUCGGAAUUACUGGGCGUAAAGCGUGCGCAGGCGGUUUUGUAAGUCUGUCGUGAAAUCCCCGGGCUCAACCUGGGAAUUGCGAUGGAGACUGCAAGGCUAGAAUCUGGCAGAGGGGGUAGAAUUCCACGUGUAGCAGUGAAAUGCGUAGAGAUGUGGAGGAACACCGAUGGCGAAGGCAGCCCCCUGGGUCAAG
rnacentral:rRNA from 1 species